rnacentral:rRNA from 1 species
CCGUAGGUGAACCUGCGGAAGGAUCAUUACAGAGUUCAUGCCCUCACGGGUAGAUCUCCCACCCUUGAAUACUAUACCUUUGUUGCUUUGGCGGGCCGCUUCGGCUACCGGCUCUGGCUGGUAAGUGCCCGCCAAAGGACCCCUAAACUCUGAAUAUUAGUGUUGUCUGGGUACUAUAUAAUAGUUAAAACUUUCAACAACGGAUCUCUUGGUUCUGGCAUCGAUGAAGAACGCAGCGAAAUGCGAUAAGUAAUGUGAAUUGCAGAAUUCAGUGAAUCAUCGAAUCUUUGAACGCACAUUGCGCCCCUUGGCAUUCCGAGGGGCAUGCCCGUUCGAGCGUCAUUAUAACCCCUCAAGCCUAGCUUGGUGUUGGGGCCUGCUGUUACCGGCAGCCCUUAAAAUCAGUGGCGGUGCCAUCUGGCUCUAAGCGUAGUAAUACUUCUCGCUACAGGGUCCUGGUGGAUGCUUGCCAUCAACCCCUAAUUUUCUAUGGUUGACCUCGGAUCGGGUAGGGAUACCCGCUGAACUUAAGCAUAUCAAUAAGCGGAGGA